GGGAGUUUAUUCUGUAAGUGGUAGCAGGGCUGACUGUAAAUCAGCUGUCUCAGACUCGGGUGGUUCGACUCCAUCAACUCCCA
rnacentral:tRNA from 1 species